CGAGAUGAGAUUCGUGACUGGAGUUCAGACGUGUGCUCUUCCGAUCUCGAUCAUGUAGUAGGCAAGCUGCGGAGGGACGCAGUGAGGUAGCUCAUCCCCGGUGAUGGUUGUCCGGGGCUAAGUGUGUGGACUGUCUGGUAGGUAAAUCCGCUGGGCGUGAAGGUUGAGGCAUGAUGGGGAGCCCAUGGUUGUGGGUGAGUGAGUGAUCCUGUACUGUCGAGAAAAGCUUCGUGAGCGAGGUGGCGGGUCCGCCCGUACCCUAAACCGACACUGGUGGAUAGGUAGAGUAUACCGAGGCGAUCGAGUGAAUCGUGGUGAAGGAACUCGGCAAAAUGCCCCCGUAACUUUGGGAUAAGGGGGACCUGAGCUGUCGUGCACCCGUGCGGUGUGGUGGCGGUGAGGGGCGCAGAGUCCAGGGGGAAACGACUGUUUACCAAAAACACAGGUCCGUGCGAAGUCGUAAGACGAUGUAUACGGACUGACUCCUGCCCGGUGCUGGAAGGUUAAGGGGAACUGUGAGUGUGAUGCGUAGCGGUGAACUUAAGCCCCAGUAAACGGCGGUGGUAACUAUAACCAUCCUAAGGUAGCGAAAUUCCUUGUCGGGUAAGUUCCGACCUGCACGAAUGGAGUAACGAUUUCCCUACUGUCUCCACCAUGAACUCGGUGAAAUUGCAUUACGAGUAAAGAUGCUCGUUACGCGCAGCAGGACGGAAAGACCCCGGGACCUUUACUAUAGUUUGGUAUUGGUGAUUGGGACGGUUUGUGUAGGAUAGGUGGGAGACGUUGAUGCGGCCACGCUAGUGGUGGUGGAGUCGUUGGUGAAAUACCACUCUGAUUGUUCUGGUUAUCUCACUGUGGACCGUGAUCCGGUUCAAGGACAGUGCCUGAUGGGUAGUUUGACUGGGGCGGUCGCCUCCUAAAGGGUAACGGAGGCGCCCAAAGGUUCCCUCAGCCUGGUUGGUAAUCAGGUGGUGAGUGUAAGUGCACAAGGGGGCUUGACUGUGAGACUGACAGGUCGAGCAGGGACGAAAGUCGGGACUAGUGAUCUGACGGUGGCUUGUGGAUGCGCCGUCACUCAACGGAUAAAAGGUACCCCGGAGAUCGGAAGAGCGUCGUGUAGGGAAAGAGUGUAGAUCUCGGUGGU
rnacentral:rRNA from 1 species